rnacentral:rRNA from 1 species
UACGUAGGGGGCAAGCGUUGUCCGGAAUCAUUGGGCGUAAAGAGCGCGUAGGCGGUCCGGUAAGUCCGAUCUGAAAGCCCGGGGCUCAACCCCGGGAGGCGGGCGGAUACUGUCGGGCUAGAGUCCGGAAGAGGCGAGUGGAAUUCCUGGUGUAGCGGUGAAAUGCGCAGAUAUCAGGAGGAACACCGAUGGCGAAGGCAGCUCGCUGGGACGGUACUGACGCUGAGGCGCGAAAGCGUGGGGAGCAAACAGG